GAUGAACGCUGGCGGCGUGCCUAAUACAUGCAAGUAGAACGCUGAAGGAGGAGCUUGCUCUUCUGGAUGAGUUGCGAACGGGUGAGUAACGCGUAGGUAACCUGCCUGGUAGCGGGGGAUAACUAUUGGAAACGAUAGCUAAUACCGCAUGACAACAGUUUUUGCAUGAUAACUGUUUAAAAGGGGCAACUGCUCCACUACCAGAUGGACCUGCGUUGUAUUAGCUAGUUGGUGAGGUAACGGCUCACCAAGGCGACGAUACAUAGCCGACCUGAGAGGGUGAUCGGCCACACUGGGACUGAGACACGGCCCAGACUCCUACGGGAGGCAGCAGUAGGGAAUCUUCGGCAAUGGACGGAAGUCUGACCGAGCAACGCCGCGUGAGUGAAGAAGGUUUUCGGAUCGUAAAGCUCUGUUGUAAGAGAAGAACGAGUGUGAGAGUGGAAAGUUCACACUGUGACGGUAUCUUACCAGAAAGGGACGGCUAACUACGUG
rnacentral:rRNA from 1 species